GGAGAAGUCAGCACACCUACCAAGGAUGCAGGGUCUUACUAUGUUUCCCAGGCUGGACUCAAACUCCUGGGCUCAAGUGGUCAUCCCACCUCAGCCUCCUGAGUAGCUGGGACUAUAGAUGCAUGCCGCCAUGCCCUGCCAAAAUCAUAUUUUUGAAGGUAGUGAUGUGGACAGAACCACCUGUGCUGCGCUGCAGACCCGCACAGAGGUCUACUGGAAGGAAGGAGCUCGAGGCGAGUCCACUGAGCGUGCGCACUUCCCAAUAGAGUCCAGGCUGCUGUUGGAGGGUUGUUUCUCAAGUUCUGGCAUCUCUGUUGACUUAAGGACCAUUCAACAUGAGAAAAUGGAGCCCACCAAUUUUGUGGCAGGCUUUCACCAGUCUGGUCUUGAUUUGCCACAAAUGCUGGACUUCCAAUUUUUAGCCUCGGGAACUGAUUUCAUUCCUUCCCAUUCCCAAAGGUUCUUCUGUAGCCUGCCAUCAAUUCUGAACAUCAUAUUGUAA
rnacentral:lncRNA from 1 species